UUUAUGUCAAUAUCUUUAAAAAAUAAUAAUAUACUAUAUAAAAUAAAUAAAAUGAUUAUUCUGAUAUAUUUAUGUCAAUAUCUUUGAAAUAUAAUUAUAUACCAUAUAAAAUAAAUAAAAGUAUUAUUUUGAUUUGUUACCCAUAAAUAUAUUGUAAAUAAAAAAAUUGGUACUAUUUUGAUUUAUGUGAUUACUGUAAUCAUGGCAAAUUUUGAACCUGCCCCGGGCCCAGCCUGUUUGGACUUGCUGCGGGGCAGGAUUGGUCACUAAGAAUCAGACCCGAUUUUUCAGCAGGCCUCGCGGGAUGAGCUUGUGCGGGUCUGGGCCAGAAGCGGAAUGGGUUCGGUGUAUCCCGCGGGACGCGCGGGGAUCCGCACAGACAUCAUCACUUUGACUCUCGAGCUCUGGCCGACAAAUGAAACAAAGAAAUGGCGAUCUCUUCCGGCUUCUUUUCCGGCGAGUACAAAGGCGAUCUCUUCCGGCCUCUUUUCUUAUUCAAUCCGUCAAUUUUGAUUUGUCGCAACUCUGCCAUGCAUGUUCUUCGUAUUCUCGUUUAAUCAAGGAAGAGUCUCUUCUCGGUUUCAUCUUCUUUCUUCAUCUCCUCUUUAGCCACGAUUUAAGAACGAUGGAAUCAGUGAAAUAAAAACAAAAUAUGGGGUCUCUUUUGUCUCUUAUCAAGCGGCGACACAUUGAGAAAUCAUGUAAGUUGUUCUUGUCUCGUUGUUGUCUCUUAACAAACAGCUUCUUAUCUACAAUACUUGGGGUGUUUAAGCUGUUCUUGUUGUUAUCAUCAAGUCAAUGUUUGCUAAUAUGCAUUUUUCAUGUUGGCGUUGUUGUUCUUGUGUGUAGUUGUAUGUUAUAAAGUUUCCUUCUUUGUCUUGUUAUUGAAGUCAGAAAUAUGUUCGGUCUGUAAAAUUAAACUAGGCACUGUUGCUUGUUAUCCUCAUGGCAGUUGUUUCUUAAUGUUCUGAUCGUAUAAACUCAAGUGACUUACGUCAUAAAUUUUCUAAAAAUUUUUCUUUAUAAUGACAUGUGAUGAGUGGGGGAUUGUAUUACGAUCAAGGAGGAGAAUGAUAUGAGAAUGCAAAGGACACUUGCAUUCCAAUCUAUAAGCUUAAAGACCUCAGUAGAGCUUUGUUUGACUUUGGCUCUUCCACCGAAGAUAAAGAGAGUGUUUUACAUGUGAAGCUGGCUUAGGAAACUAAAGAUGAGUUUGCUGCAGUAUUACAAGUCACUGAGCCAUCUAAAACAAGGUGAGGAAAUAUAGACUUGGCUGGCUUUGACACACCCGCGGGCCUGUACCGCCAAUGCUUGUGCAAGUUGCGGGUCAGGAUUGGGCAGCACUUCUAGUGACCGCAUCCCGCGCGGGCAUGUACCGCCAAGAUCCGCAUUGACCGUGUACCGCGGCGGGGCGGGACAAGGCGGAUCGGUACAACCCAAUUGCCAUCUCUACUCCUAUAUAUUAAUUGAAAAACAGUUGAUUACUCUAGAAAGUGUAAGAUUUUAUUAAUUAAUAUUGCUCAAAAAUCUUACGAGAACGAUACAGAUUUAUUUAGAAGUUAUUGAAAUCACCUAACGAGACAUGGAUUGCAUAAUAAAUUUGCUUUCCUAACCCUAAGCCCCUUUUUAUUCGGCACAACACCGACAUAGAAUAUUUGGAAGUUUCGAUAGACAAUCUAAAAUGGUAACGUUUUUUAAGGUCAUCCCAUUAUUUUUAUUAAAUGGGCCUAGAAAUAUUUUUAAUGAUUAACUAAAUAGGCCACAUAAGUAGUAAAAUGUGUUUUGGUUUAAAAAUUGUUGCAUACCCAAAAUGAAUAUGAACAUCAUAAUUUUCCUUUAAAAUUUUGUCACAAUCAAAAUAUAGGAUUGGGAAAAUAAUCCGAUUCCAAAAAAACCAAACCAAUGUCGAUCCAAAGUAAAGUACUGAACUUUAACCAAAACUGGUGAGAUAUCCGAAUGGGUUCAAAAUUUAUGUAUCUAGAGAACUGGAACCUCACCCGGUCCAAACCGUACUAUUUUAGGUAUCCGAACAAGAUUUAUAUACUUAAACCGGGGCUUCUACCUCUAGUGGUAAAGGGCUUACAGCUGUGAGUACCACCACCUGGGUUCGAAUCCCGGACACUGGGAAAUUAACAUUUCGGCAUCGCUAGAGACAGAGGUCUGACACGUGGUAACACGUGACUAGUCUGGAUCACUUCUGUGAGAUCAAGAAACCUCUGUAGAAUUCAAAAAAAAAAAAUAUUAAUUAUUUUUAAAAUUUGAUAUCUAAAAGUAUAUACAAAAUAUAUAAAACGUUUUUAAGUUUCCAAAAUACUUGGAAAUGUAUACAAAGAGCUAGCCUAUAAGUACAUGUUUAAAAUAGCUAAAUGAUACUUAUAAUACCUAAAAUACUUAAAAUAUAUAUUGAUUUCUUAUCCUAAUAUUUAAACUAAACUAAUUUUUAUGUUAAGUUUAAGUAUUUUGGCAUACAUUAUUCAAAUUUAUAUGCUUUAUAUUAUUUUUAUUUUUAGAUUUUGAAAAAUUUAAAGUUUAUAUAAACUUUUAUUUUUGAAAAAAAAAUUAAUAUGUUAUAUGAAUCCAAACCCGAAUCAAAUCCGCAAAUAUCCGUACCGAACCAAACUCUCAAGGAUUCGAAUCAAAUCAAAUAGUACUCAAAUGUCCACAUCUAAUCAAAUGUAAGAAAUGUAUAUUGUUUAUAAUAUUUAAGUAUAAUAAUUUUUUUUUAAAAAAUCAUCCUGCGCAUAACGUGGAUUAUAUCUAGUUUACACGAAAA